UUGCAGUCAUAUUACGUUGAAACACCGGUUCUCGUAAGAUCAGCAAAAUUAAGCAAUAUCUAGCCUGGUCAGUACCCAGCUGGGUGACUUCUUGGGAAUACUAGGUGU